rnacentral:rRNA from 1 species
UGCGGGAGUGCUCGAAAGAGAGCCAGGACACAGGUGCUGCAUGGCCGUCGUCAGCUCGUGUCGUGAGAUGUUGGGUUAAGUCCCGCAACGAGCGCAACCCUUGCCAUUAGUUGCUACGAAAGGGCACUCUAAUGGGACUGCCGGUGACAAACCGGAGGAAGGUGGGGAUGACGUCAGGUCAUCAUGGCCCUUAUGGGUAGGGCUACACACGUCAUACAAUGGCCGGUACAGAGGGCUGCCAACCCGCGAGGGGGAGCCAAUCCCAGAAAACCGGUCGUAGUCCGGAUCGCAGUCUGCAACUCGACUGCGUGAAGUCGGAAUCGCUAGUAAUCGCGGAUCAGCGUGUCGCGGUGAAUACGUUCCCGGGUCUUGUACACACCGCCCGUCACACCAUGGGAGCGGGUUCUGCCAGAAGUAGGUAGCCUAACCGCAAGGAGGGCGCUUACCACGGCAGGGUUCGUGACUGGGGUGAAGUCGUAACAAGGUAGCCGUAUCGGAAGGUGCGGCU